rnacentral:tRNA from 1 species
GGAAGCGUUUCGUCACCGGUGUGGCGCCUGGUCUUCAAAACCAGUGGCGGGCUCAUCCCCCGCGGUAGGUUCGACUCCUAUACGCUUCCGCCA